UACGGAGGAUGCAAGCGUUAUCCGGAAUGAUUGGGCGUAAAGCGUGCGCAGGCGGCGCGUUAAGACAGGUGUGAAAGCCCCGAGCUUAACUUGGGAAUUGCGCUUGUGACUGGCGUGCUGGAGUGUGGCAGAGGGAGGUGGAAUUCCACGUGUAGCAGUGAAAUGCGUAGAGAUGUGGAGGAACACCGAUGGCGAAGGCAGCCUCCUGGGCCAGCACUGACGCUCAUGCACGAAAGCGUGGGGAGCAAACAGG
rnacentral:rRNA from 1 species